rnacentral:lncRNA from 12 species
CCCCCCCCCCCCCCCCCCCCCCCCCCCCCCCCCCCCCCCCCCCCCCCCCCCCCCCCCCCCCCCCCCCCCAGAGGCUGAUAACGGCGGUGAGCCGAGGCCGGGCGUUGACGUGCCCCCGGUAGAAGCAGUGCUUCACGUCGGCGUCGGCCGCCUCGGCGUAGAGGCGCCGCUGCUCCGCGGCGGGCUCUCCCAGGAGGCUGACGGUGAAGAGCGGGGCGAUGAAGGCCGAGCUGGCCGUCAGGUUGAAGAGGAACUGCUGCCCGAAGGCGGACAGCCCAGCCUGUAGUGUGCGUGCGGGGAGGCGGCGGCGGCCGCCGUCCAGGCGUCGGGGGCGGCACUGGUGCUCCGCCGGCGCCGCCUGAAGUGGACAUCGGUGGGGAAGGGUUCACCGAACUCGUUCACUCGGUUGAAGAAGUGGACCAGCAAUUGAAGAAUCCCCUGUGUGGCACUUCUUAUAGCAGUUGUUUUCUUCUACAUUCUCAGAUAAGAGAUAUCCCCGAGUCACACUCCUGCAACCCACUGCACAACACAAGGAAGAAAAGAGGAGUUUCUGCAUUGCUUAAACACACAAGAACUACUGACCUGGCCCUCUUAGAGCCAUUUCACACUCCAGGGCACACCAAUGGCCACGUGUCAUCUGUCCUGGCCACCAAGGAAUUUGGUUUCCAUGCCUAG